rnacentral:misc_RNA from 1 species
AACGCAAAUUGCGCUCGAGGCCUUCGGGUCAAGAGCAUGUCUGUUUCAGCGUCGGCUAUUCAAUCAAACCCCUUCCUUUUGUGGGAAGAGGCUUUGGAGCUGACUGUCUCUAGCCUGCAUGGGCAGGAGUCUGUCGAAUACCAUCGGUUAUGGUGACCCAUUGAAGGGGAUCCGGAUUGGUAGGUGACCUUACGGUUACAAAGCCACCGGAGCCCUGGGUGUUGCUGUAGCCUGCAGGAAUCGAGGAGCGUAAGCUCCUUUCCUUUCGACCUGAAAUCAGGCAAGACCACCCGCUGAACUUAA